rnacentral:rRNA from 1 species
CAGCAGCCGCGGGAACACAGAGGGUGCGAGCGUUAAUCGGAUUUACUGGGCGUAAAGCGUGCGUAGGCGGCUUCUUAAGUCGGAUGUGAAAUCCCUGAGCUUAACUUAGGAAUUGCAUUCGAUACUGGGAAGCUAGAGUAUGGGAGAGGAUGGUAGAAUUCCAGGUGUAGCGGUGAAAUGCGUAGAGAUCUGGAGGAAUACCGAUGGCGAAGGCAGCCAUCUGGCCUAAUACUGACGCUGAGGUACGAAAGCAUGGGGAGCAAACAGGAUUAGAUACCCCAGUAGUCCCUGUCUCUUAUAC